AUCACUAUAAUACCUCGGUUUUUUGGUGAAGUGAUUUGCGUUUUAUAACAAACACUAUGCUUGUUAUUCGCUUUCGCAUGCUUUCCCGGAGGGGGGCGUGAGCAAAACGUACAACGCUUUUGUGUUCAAUUU
rnacentral:sRNA from 1 species